rnacentral:rRNA from 1 species
AUUGAACGCUGGCGGCAUGCCUUACACAUGCAAGUCGAACGGCAGCACGGGAGCAAUCCUGGUGGCGAGUGGCGAACGGGUGAGUAAUAUAUCGGAACGUGCCCAGUCGUGGGGGAUAACGUAGCGAAAGCUACGCUAAUACCGCAUACGAUCUACGGAUGAAAGCGGGGGAUCGCAAGACCUCGCGCGAUUGGAGCGGCCGAUAUCAGAUUAGCUAGUUGGUGGGGUAAAAGCUCACCAAGGCGACGAUCUGUAGCUGGUCUGAGAGGACGACCAGCCACACUGGAACUGAGACACGGUCCAGACUCCUACGGGAGGCAGCAGUGGGGAAUUUUGGACAAUGGGCGCAAGCCUGAUCCAGCAAUGCCGCGUGCAGGAUGAAGGCCUUCGGUUGUAAACUGCUUUUGUACGGAACGAAACGGUGAGCUCUAAUAAAGCUUGCUAAUGACGGUACCGUAAGAAUAAGCACCGGCUAACUACGU